CUUGGUGGCGAGAGCGGGGCGGACCCACCCGUACCCAUUCCGAACACGGUCGUGAAACACCCCAGCGCUGACGAUACUGCGUGGGCAACUGCGUGGGAAAAUAGGCCGGUGCCAGGG
rnacentral:rRNA from 1 species